rnacentral:rRNA from 1 species
GUGGUUAGCCGAGACUUAUUCUGAGAGUACUGUCCUUUCUCAUCCUCUCAAAAAGUGCUUUACGACCCGAAGGCCUUCAUCGCACACGCGGUGUUGCUGCAUCAGGCUUUCGCCCAUUGUGCAAUAUUCCCUA